rnacentral:rRNA from 1 species
UACGGAGGGUGCAAGCGUUAUCCGGAUUCACUGGGUUUAAAGGGUGCGUAGGUGGGUCUGUAAGUCCGUGGUGAAAUCUCCAAGCUUAACUUGGAAACUGCCAUGGAUACUAUAGGUCUUGAAUACCGUGGAGGUGAGCGGAAUAUGUCAUGUAGCGGUGAAAUGCUUAGAUAUGACAUAGAACACCAAUUGCGAAGGCAGCUCACUACACGAAUAUUGACACUGAGGCAACGAAAGCGUGGGGAGCAAACAGG